rnacentral:rRNA from 1 species
GUCCAUGCCGUAAACGUUGGGCACUAGGUGUGGGGCUCAUUCCACGAGUUCCGCGCCGCAGCUAACGCAUUAAGUGCCCCGCCUGGGGAGUACGGCCGCAAGGCUAAAAACUCAAAGGAAUUGACGGGGGCCCGCACAAGCGGCGGAGCAUGCGGAUUAAUUCGAUGCAACGCGAAGAACCUUACCAAGGCUUGACAUACACCGGAAUCAUGCAGAGAUGUGUGCGUCUUCGGACUGGUGUACAGGUGGUGCAUGGUUGUCGU